UUAUAUUUAUUACAAACAUACAUGUGCUUUUUUUCAAUUGUGUGGUGCAACAAAAACUGUUGAACAGCGAUAACACUUUCAAUAGAAAAGGCCUUCAAAGCGGCACAGUUUGGUGAAUGCCAAACAAAGCGAUCACAGGAAAAAAGACAUUACAAGCUUUAUUGGUUAGCGGAAAGUACACAUUGCAAGAUAAAUGGAAGUAUCAGACAACAAUUCUUCUUCAAAAGAAAGUUAAGAAAUCUCUCUAGGCUUGCGCUUGAGAAGGUCCUUUUCAUCCCCAAUUUUGGUUGUUGCUAACUCUGUUUCAACCCGGUCAACCUCAACUUCAAGAUUACCACACCAUACUCCACCACGUUCUCCCUCGGUCUCAGGUUCACGUAAACCGAGCUAUGCAGAUAAACAGAAAGAAAAAGAAGAGGUGAGUCUUGGAUUGAAAAGGACUUCCUUUGAGACUGGGCAGUCGUUAGGUCGUAAAACCUCAGAUUCCAAACCACCACCAUAUGGUUCACGUAAACAACCCACCUAUGAACAGAAAGAACAAGAAGAGGUGAGUUUUGGUAUGAAAAAGUCAACAAUUUCCAACUUAAUAGAAUAAUGGAAUGAAUCAAUCAAAAUAUUUCUGCCUUGGCUGAUUAGUUUUCAGCAUAUUUUGUGAAUUUUGAAAUACUUUGAUGUAAUAAAUAGUCCAAUACUUUUUGUCCUUGGUUACAUACCUUUUGCCUCUACGCAUUGUCUCUUAUAAUAGAUGGUAUCUUUUUUCAUUGAGCUGAAAAAUUAGUGUUUGGUUAGUAGCAUAUAUCCUACUCCAAUCUAAUCUACAAAAUGUACCUGAUAUUCUAAAGCAUAAAAGUCAUUUAUAAAUGCACAUGUUGAAUGUUGAUGCCUCCUCCAGACUCUUAAGUUGCAAUGUUGGAGUUUUCACAAACAUGCUCCACAAUUUUUCCUGUAUACAUAAGAAUAGUCAUGAUUAUAAGGUCCAAGCUUACAAAAUAGGGUGCAUCCAGAUGGUACUGAACUUGGUGAAAAUCAUGUCAAAUUCAGCCUCGCCCCAUGCCAAUGUUUACCUAGUUAAAUCUUUAGGAAAGAUACACCAACAUCAUCGUGUUUUCCUAGGUUUAAUUUUCAUUUUUGUGAUAUCAUAUUUUAAUUUUCCUAGGUUUAAGUGAACAAUAUUACAGUUCCUCUAGUAAUAGUAUUCCAAGUGAAACGCUUCAUUUUGCAACGUCGAAAAUAAGAUGAUAUCAGUAGCUGAUCUGAAAUUACAGCAUAGCUCCAAUGAAAUGAAAUCCUUGAUAUUGUUUAAUCAUCACAUCUAAUCUAACUUAUUUCUAAUCCUAGUUAACACUCCAA
rnacentral:lncRNA from 1 species